CACCCCUACUCACAAACCACAGUGUCUGCGUUCGGCUCUCCCUUCCCACUCUGCCUCUGUCUCCCUUCCAGUAUGCACAGGCGACUGCUCUCUCUCUGGGUGACCGGGGCGCUGCUGCUACCCUUGUGCUGGGCAAACCAAGAGGACUUUGAGGAGGAAAAUUACGACUAUUCUACCCAAACACCAGACUACGACUACAACGCCACCUUUGAUUACGAAAUAUUCAGUAAUACCACCGGCCAUGAGGAGGACUAUAAUUUGUAUGUAAUUCUAGGAGGAAAGAAGAAUGUGGAGGAGAAAGAUCUUGAGAAUAAGGCUUUAACGAUUGGCUCCCCAUGCCCAGCGCUCCUCCUUGGAUUGGCUGCUCACCAACUCCAUCGAUUACUGUGAAUGAGACCGAGCACUGCAGAACAUACACAGAUACUCAGGACCCUGAACUGAGCAGAGUGACCCAAUAUUCUGGAACUGGACUGAGCAGAAAACUGACCCAAUAUUCUGGAAUUUGACAUUUCUAAGGAUCAAAUGGACACAGCAUGAGAUACUCCACCACUGACUUUCUAUGCUAUAGUUGGAAAAACUCAUAGUAUAUCCUGAAUCCUAACAUGUGAAAUAAGCCCAUAAUUUAAAUUAAUAAAAAUCUCCCACAAGAAUA